AGUCGCCGCGGCCGCAGUCACUUCCUGCCCCUGUGCCCAUCCGGCUCCGGGGUCAGUGGUCGCCGCUCCCGCUGCGCCGGCGGGACACGGGACGGUGAAGUUUACUUCGGAGGGGGAAAGAGUCCGCCCGGCGGAGGCUGGUGCGGCGGCUCCCUGCGGGCGCAGCGCCCCGCCCCGCCCCGCUCCCUGCCGCCGGCCGCCGCGCUGCUUUGGCGCCCGCUGUCACCUGCCGGCUCCGCGCGGGACCCGCUUGGCUCAGCCCCGGCCGCCGCCCGCUCCCCGCGGGGCUCUGGGAGAGCCGCGCCCCCGCGGAACGGGAGCUGGCGGCUGCCCCGCACUCCGUCCCCAGGAGCCUGCCAGAAACAAGCUGCUGGAUGUAGAAGGAAAGUAGGUCGUGCACACAGAAAAUGCCUCUAAGGGAUAAGUGUUGUCAGACUGACCAUCAUCACCAUGGGUGCUGUGAACCAGUGUAUUUGUUAGAACCUGGUGAUCCUCCUUUGUUACAGCAACCUCUGCAGAUGUCAAAAUCUGGUAUUCAACAAAUUAUUGAGUGUUUUCGAUCAGGAACUAAACAACUUAAACAUAUCUUGUUAAAAGACGUGGACACCAUUUUUGAAUGUAAAAUAUGCCGCAGUCUCUUCAGAGGAUUACCAAACUUAAUUACUCAUAAAAAGUUCUAUUGUCCUCCAAGUCUCCAGAUGGAUGACAACCUUCCAGAUGUCAAUGAUAAACAAAGCCAAGCCGUAAAUAAUCUUCUGGAAGCCAUUUAUCCUAGAGUGGACAAACAAGAAUAUGUAAUUAAGCUGGAACCUAUAGAAACAAAUCAGAAUGCUGUGUUUCAGUACAUUUCAAGAACUGACAACCCAGAAGAGAACAUUGAGAUUAGCAGUAGUCCUGAACAAGCUCCAUUACAAAUACAGGAACCUACCACUGAGCAACCCAAAACUGUUUCAACUCCAGAUACAGAAACUUUAGAGUUGCCACCUGCUGAUGCUGUAAUAAAUGUAAUACCUACUCCUGACGAACAACCUCCAGCAUUAAAUCCUGAAUUGGACUCUUCUGAUAAUUCUGAUUUUGGCCAUCAGUUGAUUUGUUGUUUAUGUAGAAAAGAAUUUCAUUCCAGACGUAGUGUACGUCGGCACAUUAGAAAAGUACACAAAAAAAAGAUGGAAGAACUAAAGAAGUACAUAGAAACAAAAAAGAAACCAAAUCAGCGCUCUACAAAAGGACGAAAUAAGAAUGUGCUUGUAACAUUAGGUAGAAGUUGUCCUGUAUGUUAUAAAUCAUUUGCUACAAAAGCCAAUGUAAGGAGGCAUUUUGAUGAAGUUCAUAGGGGGUUAAGGAGGGAUUCCAUUACUCCUGAUAUUGCUACAAAGCCUGGGCAACCUUUGUUUUUGGAUACAGUUUCUGCUAAAAAAUCUUUUAAGACCCGAAAACAAAAGUCUUCCUCAAAGGCUGAAUACAAUUUAACUGCAUGCAAAUGCCUUCUGUGCAAGAGAAAAUAUAGUUCACAAAUAAUGCUUAAAAGGCACAUGCAAAUUGUUCACAAGAUAACGCUUUCCGGAAAGAACUCUAAAAGAGAGAAAGGACCCAAUAAUACUGCCAACGGCACAGAAAUAAAAGUAAAAGUUGAACCAGCAGAUUCUGUAGAAUCUUCAACCCCUUCCGUCACCCUUUCUCCACAGAAUGAGUUAAAGGGAACAAGUCAUUCAAAUGAGAAAAAGAACACACCAGCAGCACAGAAAAAUAAAGUUAAGCGAGACCUUGAAACCCCUAAAUCAACCAAUCCAUCUGCUGCAGGUGGCCAGCAAAAAACAAGGAAGCCAAAACUUUCAGCUGGCUUUGACUUCAAGCAGCUUUACUGUAAACUGUGUAAACGCCAAUUUACUUCUAAACAGAACUUGACAAAACACAUUGAGUUGCACACAGAUGGAAAUAACAUUUAUGUUAAAUUCUACAGGUGUCCUCUCUGCACUUAUGAAACACGUCGCAAACGUGAUGUGAUAAGGCAUAUAACUGUAGUUCAUAAAAAGUCAUCACGUUACCUUGGUAAAAUAACUGCAAGUUUAGAAAUCAGAGCAAUAAAAAAGCCUAUUGAUUUUGUUCUAAAUAAGGUGGCAAAAAGAGGCCCUCAGAGGGAUGAAGCAAGACAGAUUGGUUCAAAACAGGAUGUCGCCUCUAACUCACCAAGUAAAAAGUUUGAAGGAGCUGAUGUUGGCAUAGAAGUAAAAGUCACAAAAAACUUUUCUCUUCACAGAUGCAAUAAAUGUGGAAAGGCAUUUGCCAAAAAGACUUUUCUAGAACACCAUAAGAAAACUCACAAGGCAAAUGCAUCUCAUUCACCAGAAGAAAACAAAACCAAAGGCAGAAGUACAAGAUCAAAAGCUCUUGUCUGACGUGCUCUCUUCCCGAAGACAACUGUCUUGGUAUACCUUCUGCAGUGGAUUACCAGUCAGGCAUACGUAGAUAACUUCAAGUGAUGUACGGAAAGUUUGGAGUUCAUUUGAGUGGAAAGACUUUAAUUUGAUGUUAGAACCACUAAUAUCUUGAAAAUGGUACCAUAAGAAAAAUGAGGAAAUACUUUAUUAAACUAUUGUUUUCUUACUAAAUUAAUAACUAUUCUCAUGGCUUGUUGUGACAGUGCCUCAUCCCAACACUGUCAGGUAACUGUUGAUUUGCAAUGCACAAGCUGCAUCUAUAGACUAGCAAUUAACUACCCUUGUCUCUAAGCAGUUCAGCAAAGUUAUCAAUAGAAAAUGAACUUUCUGUGCUUUAAAAACAAAAAACCCUUUACAAAAAGCAUUUUUUUGAAGAAAACUUAUUUUUAUUUAGGAAAUCAACUUGAGAGGUCACCACAGAUACUGACCUUAGUACUGCUAAUACUGAUGAACCAAUUCUGUGACUUUUUAUGUGGUAUUCUACUUGGCUGGCAAACUUUUGCUUUGUUAUGUACUGUUUUAAAUUUAUUACAAAUGAAUGUAUAAGAGCAAACACCAUAUUAGUGUAUAUUGGCUGAAUUGUUCUAAUUUUUAGUAAUUGUCAUAACUUCAGUUUGUUCAGUUUGACUGAUUUCCCAACUUUUGGGUGUACUGAAUUUCACUCUACUAAAGUUGCUGCAGAGAUAUUGCCAAUACUUUUUUUUUUUCUUCAUGCAUGGUUCAUAGGACAGCCUUUCAUUUGUAAACAUUUAAGAAGUUUACAAAAAUACCUACAUCCCCUAUUCCAUAUUCUUUAAUUUUGUGUUAAAUUUUAUACACAAGCACUUUAAUGAUAGUUGCAGUUAAUUUUUCAGUUAUUGUUUUAAAAAAACACACUAAUGUUAAUAUGAAGGUAGUGAAUAUUUUCUGAUGUUUUAUAGACACAGACAAUCCAUGCACAACCACUUCUUAUAAUGCUAGUUUUAUUUCUUUAAAUAUUAAUAAAAGGGGAGGAUAGUGUGAGAGAAACUCAGAAUAUUUUUUUCUCGCAAGAUCUUAAAUGACCACUUUAGGUAGCACUUGACUUUAUUGUAGGAUUUGCAAAAUGCUUACUGAUCCUUUUGUCUAUUUUAUAAUCAAGAUAUUAGCAAAACAGUAGCACACCUGCCAUUAUGGAAAUCUUGGCAGGCUUCUGUGCAUCAAUUUUUUUUACUUUUUAGAAGAUAUUUUGUUUAGUGAUUUGUGUCAAAUUGCCACAAUUUGAAAGGUACUGUACAUCAGAAGAAAUACCAUGUUUUUAUAGAGGUUCACUCUCUUGCUUAGGGAGGUGCCUUGUCAUAUAUACUUUUUGUAUUAAAAAAAUCUAAAAAUGUUGAUCACAAGGUCAUCGAUUUAAAAAAAAAUGCUUUUAUGGAUAGAAGAAUGUUUGGCCUUUUUAGUGCUUUGCACUAAAAAAAAUACACUGUGAAUGGGAACUGGACUAUAACUGUUGCUGGAAAUGUUCUAUAUUGAAUGUACAUGCUCUUGUUUGGAUAAAUGUACUGUAUUUGGAAAUAAAUCAGACUGGAAGUUACUUUAACAAAGUGUGCUUAGAAAAAAAGGUAUAUUCUAGUGAAACUGGAAUGCCUUUCUUCAGUCAUAAACCAAUCCAAUUACUACCACCAGCUACACUUCAACAUUUGCAUUUCUAUAAACUUUAUUUCUCUA